rnacentral:rRNA from 1 species
AUACGUAGGUGGCAAGCGUUGUCCGGAAUUACUGGGCGUAAAGGAUGCGUAGGCGGAUAUGUAAGUCAGAUGUGAAAUACCCGGGCUCAACUUGGGUGCUGCAUUUGAAACUGCAUGUCUAGAGUGCGGGAGAGGAAAGUGGAAUUCCUAGUGUAGCGGUGAAAUGCGUAGAUAUUAGGAGGAACACCGGUGGCGAAGGCGGCUUGCUGGACAAAUACUGACGCUGAGGUGCGAAAGCGUGGGGAGC